UGAGUGGCGGACGGGUGAGUAACGCGUGAGCAACCUGCCCUCGGAGGGGGGAGUAGUGUCUGGAAACGGACAGUAAUACCGCAUAACGUACAGAGACGGCAUCGUCAUUGUACCAAAGAUUUAUCGCCGAGGGAUGGGCUCGCGUCUGAUUAGAUAGUUGGUGGGGUAACGGGCCUACCAAGUCGACGAUCAGUAGCCGGACUGAGAGGUUGAUCGGCCACAUUGGGACUGAGACACGGCCCAGACUCCUACGGGAGGGCAGCAGGUGGGGGAUAUUGCACAAUGGGCGCAAGCCUGAUGCAGCAACGCCGCGUGGAGGAAGUACGGUUUUCGGAUUGUAAACUCCUGUUCUUAGGGAAGAAGACAGUGACGGUACCUAAGGAGCAAGCCACGGCUAACUACGUGCCAGCCGCCGC
rnacentral:rRNA from 1 species